rnacentral:rRNA from 1 species
GACGAACGCUGGCGGCGUGCUUAACACAUGCAAGUCGAACGGAAAGGCCCUGCUUUUGUGGGGUGCUCGAGUGGCGAACGGGUGAGUAACACGUGAGUAACCUGCCCUUGACUUUGGGAUAACUUCAGGAAACUGGGGCUAAUACCGGAUAGGAGCUCCUGCUGCAUGGUGGGGGUUGGAAAGUUUCGGCGGUUGGGGAUGGACUCGCGGCUUAUCAGGUUGUUGGUGGGGUGGUGGCUUACCAAGGCUUUGACGGGUAGCCGGCCUGAGAGGGUGACCGGCCACAUUGGGACUGAGAUACGGCCCAGACUCCUACGGGAGGCAGCAGUGGGGAAUAUUGCACAAUGGGCGGAAGCCUGAUGCAGCAACGCCGCGUGCGGGAUGACGGCCUUCGGGUUGUAAACCGCUUUCGCCUGUGACGAAGCGUGAGUGACGGUAAUGGGUAAAGAAGCACCGGCUAACUACGUG